rnacentral:lncRNA from 1 species
GGUGGCGCCAUUUCCUGUCCUAGCUGUGAAGACAGAGUCUACCUGUUUUCUCAGGAAAGCAGUUUCUUCAUCUUGAGAAUAGACAGACAACAUUCCUGAAGCAAUGGUAGAGGGCGCUCUCCCUUCCCGUCUCUCAUAAAGCUGUGUCUGUACUUUGCACCAGCUUCAGUGUGGUUGAAAUAACAAAGAAAACUUCACAGAGGAAUAUUUUAUUUCCAUAAAACAAAAGGUAAGGUAAAGAGGUUUUAUAAUAGGAAACAUUAUACAAUCAAUUUUACUUUGUACACUUGAAAUCUAG